UGCUCAGCCACAGAAACAUUGCAAUCAUCUGCAAACUGCCUUCUGCGGAUUGUAACCGUUAUUGUGUUGUUUUCCGUUGUCAAAGUAAUCGAAGGUGUCUUGUCAACAUGUAUGAAGUGAACGGCAAAUCUUGGAACUUUCUAAUGUUACGUCAGGCAAAGUCAAGAUUGUUGCAAAAUAUAGAUGUUCAUAAGGGAAAAAAUACAAUUUGAA
rnacentral:lncRNA from 1 species